CUUAAUGUCAAGGAAAUCUGAAUGAUCAAGGGGAGCACAGUUCCUGAAAUCAGGCACAAACACACAGUAAGUCCUCUAGGGAUGGCAAAGAAUGGUUGGCAACAGAGAAAUUACCAGUUAUGUUUGCCCUUCUUUCACCUCUGCUGGAGGACUCAGUAACAGUCAAGAUCUCCAGACAGCUGCACAGCUCCCCAGGCUGACAACUGCUGCCAGCACCCAGCAAGGCUCAGAUGUAACCUCCUCUGAGAUGCAGUUACCCUCUGGCAACAGUGAAGCAGCAUGAGUGCAACUAUGCACCCUCCAGAAAGCUAAGGCUUUACCUUUUAGAUAGAAACACAUCUCUCAAGAUCAAACACAGAG